GAUAUUCAUAUUUUAUAUUCAAAUCUUUGAUUUAUGUGACAUUAUCUUUAUUCAACACAAUGCAUAUUCAGAUAAUAAACGAUUAAGUUUACAAGACACUUAAAUUGAAAGCUUCAAGUGAAAAUGGCUUUUAUGACAACCAAUGCGUAAUUAAUAAAUGUUUAAAUCAGCAAAAUAAUUUUAAGAGAGUUUGACGUCAGUAUUAUUACACGAUUAUCAAAUAAAAUGGAAAAGUUGCAUAAGUGAUCUACAAAACCUUUGACAAUGCUGGUUAAUAUUUUUCUUUGGUGUCUUGUUAUUCAGAGUGUAUAUGGACGCAACCGAGAAACUGAUGACUGUUUCGGGGGUUGUCCUAAAAUUUGGGAUCCUGUAUGUGGAUCCGACGGAAAGGCUUACGGCAAGUGUUUUGUCAUUCACGUUUUAACCUAAUGUAUAUGUAAAAUACUACUAAUUAAUUUCUAAGAACGUGCUUAUACUAUUGUUUAAACCUUUACAAUGAAAUGUUCCAUAAAACUAUUUACAAUGUAGUAAAAUUAUAACUGUUUGAGACUUUGCAAAAUUCUUUGUAUCAGUUUUGUGAAAUUAUGAACCUUACGUAAAAAUAUAUUGAAAAUACUAUAUUUAUCCACAGUGGAUCAAGAUUAGUGCAAUAUUUGUGCAAUGAUAUUGAUGACGUCACAAACGCAGUGAAACCCAUUAAAAAGCGUCCUCUUGUUUGCGUUUAUUUAGUAUUAUUUUUACAUAUAUGAGGUUCUCAACAAACUUUUAUAUACUUGUACAAUACAUUUGUUUCAGUACUUACAUCAAUAUAUGCUUAUUUCUUUUCAUUUAUUAUCAGUUCACUUAUUAUAUGCCCCUCCCCUCCUUUCGUGUGCCUUUCCCCGUUUUUUGGUUCGGUGCCUUCUGCGUGACCUGUGACUGGGUUGUGUCGGGAGGCGCGUUCUGUAAACGUCGCCUUGCCUUGGUGAUCUUUGUUCUCAAUCUUUUACAUAUGUUUAAUUUAUUCAACUCUAGGCAAUAUGUUUUCAGAUCAUUUACAUGACGUCCUCUAAAACAACCAUUUAUCUCUGAUUAUCCAUUUACAAUAAAGGUUUCAAUCCAUGUUUCAUAUUUGUACUUCAUGAAACCUUUGUGCUAACACAUUUGGUUUUAGUUGACAUUUUAUAUCAAAUUAACAAUUGAUUUCAGGAAUAAGUUAAUGCUAAAAUGUAUGUAAAACAGAUUGUUUAAUUAUCUAAGAGAAAAUGAAACAAUUCCGAUCUACAUAUCAUUAUAUUACUUGCACAUCUGCAUGCUUUGUAUCCUUCAAAAAGAAUUAAUUUAAUUAAUUAAUUAAACCAUUAAAUGUGAAAUUACAAUAGACAUAACUGAUACAUUUUUUAAAAAAAAAAAUCAACCUAUUUUAUCACAAGGUAUAUAAUUUAAACCAAAUGAAAAACAAAUAUUCAUUGCACAAAUGAUUUUACGAAACUUUGUGAUUGAAGGAAUAAUUGCUUAUUCUCAGUAUCACCAAACAUCUGUUACUGUAAUACUUCAUUAAUAAUCCAACUAUGUUCAAAAACAUCAUAUAUGCAUAUUUUUCAGGAAAUGCUUGUGAAUUCAACUUUGGAAUGUGCAAAAACGAAGAACUGGAAUUAGCUUAUACUGGGCGUUGUCGCAUCUAGAAACAUAAUUUUACUACAAAUAAAGAUGAAGUCUGCAAA